rnacentral:rRNA from 1 species
AGAAUCUUUCGCAAUGCCCGAAAGGGUGACGAAGCGACGCCGCGUGUGGGAAGAAGGCCUUCGGGUUGUAAACCACUGUCGGGAGUUAGGAAAUGUAAGGGUGUUAAUAGUAUCCUUACUUGACUAAGGCUCCGGAGGAAGCCACGGCUAACUCUGUGCCAGCAGCCGCGGUAAUACGGAGGCGGCAAGCGUUGUUCGGAAUUAUUGGGCGUAAAGAGCACGUAGGCGGCCUUGUAAGUCAGUUGUGAAAGCCUUCUGCUUAACGGAAGAACAGCAGCUGAUACUGCAAGGCUAGAGUGCGGAAGGGGAGAGUGGAACUUCUGGUGGAGCGGUGAAAUGCGUAGAUAUCAGAAGGAACACCGGCGGCGAAGGCGACUCUCUGGUCCGUAACUGACGCUGAGUGUGCGAAAGCUAGGGGAGCAAACGGGAUUAGAUACCCCGGUAGUCCUAGCCGUAAACGAUGGGCACUAAGUAGAGGGGUUUUGAUUAUCUCUCUGCCGGAGCUAACGCAUUAAGUGCCCCGCCUGGGGAGUACGGCCGCAAGGCUAAAACUCAAAAGAAUUGACGGGGGCUCGCACAAGCGGUGGAGCAUGUGGCUUAAUUCGAUGCAACGCGAAGAACCUUACCGGGGUUUGACAUGGUAGAAGUAGGAGCCUGAAAGGGUGACGAACGGUAUCCAGUCCGUGACUAUCACAGGUGUUGCAUGGCUG